UACAUGCAAAUCGUGCACUGUCUAUGUUUUACAUAGAUAACAGGUUUAUGGGUGAGUAAUAUGUAAGAACCAACCUUUAGGCGGGGGAAUACCUCAUAAGCUGUGGAGUAAAAGAACUUUUUCACCUAAAGACGGGCUUACACCUGAUUAGCUUGAUGGUGAGGUAAUAGCUUACCAUGGCUACAAUCAGUAACUGGUCUGAGAGGAUGUACAGUCACAUUGGGACUGAGAUACGGCCCAGACGACUACGUGUUGGCAGCAGUAAUGAAUCUUCCGCAAUGGGGGAAACCCUGACGGAGCGAGUCGUCGUGAAGGAUGAAGGUUUACGGAUUGUAAACUUCUUUUGCUACAUUUAAAUUUUUAAUUUAUUAGCCACUGGCGUGUAGAGAAUAAGCAUCAGCAAAUUUCGUGCCAGCAGCCGCGGUUAUACGGGAGAUGCAAAGAUUAUCUGGAAUUAUUGGGUGUAAAGAGUCUUAAGAUGGUGGAGUAUGUCUAUGGUGAAAUGUCAAAGCUUAACUUUGAAACAGCUGUAGAAACUACUCAACUUGAGUUCGAUAGAGGUAAAGGGAAUUCUCGGUGGAGCGGUGAAAUGCAUAGAUAUCGAGAGGAACACCGAAGGCGUAGGCACUUUACUGGGUCGAAACUGACAUUGUAAGACGAAAGCUAAGGGAGCAAAAGGGAUUAGAGACCCCUGUAGUCUUAGCCGUAAAUGAUGGGUACUGUGUAUUGGUUAGAAAUCAGUACGUAAGCUAACGCUAAGUACCCCACCUGGGGAUUACGUCCGCAAGGAUAAAACUUAAAGAAAUAGGCGGGGGGAUAAACAAGCAGUGGAUAGUGUGGUUUAAUUCGCUGCUACGCGCAGAACCUUACCAGCGUUUGACAUCCCUGUUAUAUCAUUAUGUAGUAGUAAUGAUUUAAAGCAGGAGACAGGUAAUGCAUGGUUGUCGAUGCAG
rnacentral:rRNA from 1 species